AAUGGGCGCAAGCCUGAUCCAGCCAUGCCGCGUGAGUGAUGAAGGCCUUAGGGUCGUAAAGCUCUUUCGCUGGGGAUGAUAAUGACAGUACCCAGUAAAGAAACCCCGGCUAACUCCGUGCCAGCAGCCGCGGUAAUACGGAGGGGGUUAGCGUUGUUCGGAAUUACUGGGCGUAAAGCGCGCGUAGGCGGAUUGGAAAGUUGGGGGUGAAAUCCCGGGGCUCAACCUCGGAACUGCCUCCAAAACUAUCAGUCUAGAGUUCGAGAGAGGUGAGUGGAAUUCCGAGUGUAGAGGUGAAAUUCGUAGAUAUUCGGAGGAACACCAGUGGCGAAGGCGGCUCACUGGCUCGAUACUGACGCUGAGGUGCGAAAGUGUGGGGAGCAAACAGGAUU
rnacentral:rRNA from 1 species